CAGUCGCCGCGGUAACACGUAGGGUGCAAGCGUUAAUCGGAAUUACUGGGCGUAAAGCGUGCGCAGGCGGUUUGUUAAGACAGAUGUGAAAUCCCCGGGCUCAACCUGGGAACUGCAUUUGUGACUGGCAGGCUAGAGUAUGGCAGAGGGGGGUGGAAUUUCGCGUGUAGCAGUGAAAUGCGUAGAUAUGCGGAGGAACACCGAUGGCGAAGGCAGCCCCCUGGGCCAAUACUGACGCUCAUGCACGAAAGCGUGGGGAGCAAACAGGAUUAGAUACCCGGGUAGUCCCUGUCUCUUAUAA
rnacentral:rRNA from 1 species